rnacentral:rRNA from 1 species
CCUACGGGAGGCAGCAGUGGGGAAUUUUGGACAAUGGGCGCAAGCCUGAUCCAGCAAUGCCGCGUGAGUGAAGAAGGCCUUCGGGUUGUAAAGCUCUUUUGUCAGGGAAGAAACGGUCUGUUCUAAUACAGCGGGCUAAUGACGGUACCUGAAGAAUAAGCACCGGCUAACUACGUGCCAGCAGCCGCGGUAAUACGUAGGGUGCAAGCGUUAAUCGGAAUUACUGGGCGUAAAGCGUGCGCAGGCGGUUUUGUAAGUUUGUCGUGAAAUCCCCGGGCUCAACCUGGGAAUGGCGAUGAAGACUGCAAGGCUAGAGUUUGGCAGAGGGGGGUAGAAUUCCACGUGUAGCAGUGAAAUGCGUAGAUAUGUGGAGGAACACCGAUGGCGAAGGCAGCCCCCUGGGUCAAAACUGACGCUCAUGCACGAAAGCGUGGGGAGCAAACAGGAUUAGAUACCCUGGUAGUCCACGCCCUAAACGAUGUCUACUAGUUGUCGGGUCUUAAUUGACUUGGUAACGCAGCUAACGCGUGAAGUAGACCGCCUGGGGAUACGGUCGCAAGNUUAAAACCGUCAAAGGAAUUGACGG